CAGUCGCCGCGGUAAUACGUAGGUGGCAAGCGUUGUCCGGAUUUAUUGGGCGUAAAGCGAGCGCAGGCGGUUCCUUAAGUCUGAUGUGAAAGCCCCCGGCUCAACCGGGGAGGGUCAUUGGAAACUGGGGAACUUGAGUGCAGAAGAGGAGAGUGGAAUUCCAUGUGUAGCGGUGAAAUGCGUAGAUAUAUGGAGGAACACCAGUGGCGAAGGCGACUCUCUGGUCUGUAACUGACGCUGAGGCUCGAAAGCGUGGGUAACAAACAGGAUUAGAUACCCCAGUAGUCCCUGUCUCUUAUAC
rnacentral:rRNA from 1 species